rnacentral:sRNA from 1 species
CUUCAUUAAUCUGCUGAGGACAAAUAAAGUGAAUAUGCGUAUCGAAUCCGCCAGCAGUCACAAUCUUGCCCUCAGCAGCAAUAACAUCCGUUGACGAUCCCACAACAAGAUCCGGAUGAACACCAUCCAUGACAUCAGGGUUGCCGGCUUUGCCAAUUCCAACAAUCAUUCCAUCCUUGAUACCGAUAUCUGCUUUGUAAAUACCCGUCCAAUCAAUGAUCAAAGCAUUGGUGACGACUGUAUCCACACAUUUUUCGUAGACUUCCAGAAGACUGCCCAUGCCUCACG